rnacentral:rRNA from 1 species
GAGUUUGAUCCUGGCUCAGGACGAACGCUGGCGGCGUGCCUAAUACAUGCAAGUCGAACGAAACUUUCUUACACCGAAUGCUUGCAUUCAUCGUAAGAAGUUGAGUGGCGGACGGGUGAGUAACACGUGGGUAACCUGCCUAAAAGAAGGGGAUAACACUUGGAAACAGGUGCUAAUACCGUAUAUCUCUAAGGAUCGCAUGAUCCUUAGAUGAAAGAUGGUUCUGCUAUCGCUUUUAGAUGGACCCGCGGCGUAUUAACUAGUUGGUGGGGUAACGGCCUACUAAGGUGAUGAUACGUAGCCGAACUGAGAGGUUGAUCGGCCACAUUGGGACUGAGACACGGCCCAAACUCCUACGGGAGGCAGCAGUAGGGAAUCUUCCACAAUGGACGCAAGUCUGAUGGAGCAACGCCGCGUGAGUGAAGAAGGUCUUCGGAUCGUAAAACUCUGUUGUUAGAGAAGAACACGAGUGAGAGUAACUGUUCAUUCGAUGACGGUAUCUAACCAGCAAGUCACGGCUAACUACGUGCCAGCAGCCGCGGUAAUACGUAGGUGGCAAGCGUUGUCCGGAUUUAUUGGGCGUAAAGGGAACGCAGGCGGUCUUUUAAGUCUGAUGUGAAAGCCUUCGGCUUAACCGGAGUAGUGCAUUGGAAACUGGAAGACUUGAGUGCAGAAGAGGAGAGUGGAACUCCAUGUGUAGCGGUGAAAUGCGUAGA